AUUGAACGCUGGCGGCAGGCCUAACACAUGCAAGUCGAGCGGAUGAGAGGAGCUUGCUUCUCGAUUCAGCGGCGGACGGGUGAGUAAUGCCUAGGAAUCUGCCUGAUAGUGGGGGACAACGUUUCGAAAGGAACGCUAAUACCGCAUACGUCCUACGGGAGAAAGCAAGGGACCUUCGGGCCUUGCGCUAUCAGAUGAGCCUAGGUCGGAUUAGCUAGUUGGUGAGGUAAUGGCUCACCAAGGCGACGAUCCGUAACUGGUCUGAGAGGAUGAUCAGUCACACUGGAACUGAGACACGGUCCAGACUCCUACGAGAGGCAGCAGUGGGGAAUAUUGGAAAAUGGGCGAAAGCCUGAUCCAGCCAUGCAGCGUGUGUGAAGAAGGUCUUCGGAUUGUAAAGCACUUUAAGUUGGGAGGAAGGGUUGUAGAUUAAUACUCUGCAAUUUUGACGUUACCGACAGAAUAAGCACCGGCUAACUCUGUGCCAGCCGCCGCUGUAAAUC
rnacentral:rRNA from 1 species